AGCAGCCGCGGUAAUUCCAGCUCCAAUAGCGUAUAUUAAAGUUGUUGCAGUUAAAAAGCUUGUAGUUGAAUUUCGGGGUCAAUACGUCGGUCGUGCCUCGGUACGCACUAACGUUAUUGAUCCCUCCCCUCUGACGAACCGUGAUGUCAUUAAUUUGGUGUUGCGGGGAAUCAGGACUGUUACCUUGAAAAAAUUAGAGUAGUUUAAAGCAGGCAAUCGCUCGAAUACAUUAGCAUGGAAUAAUGAAAUAGGACGUUCGAACCUAUUUUGUUGGUUUCUAGGAUCGACGUAAUGAUUAAUAGGGAUAGUUGGGGGCAUUAGUAUUCAAUUGUCAGAGGUGAAAUUCUUGGAUUUAUUGAAGACUAACUACUGCGAAAGCAAUUUGCUAAGGAUGUUUUCAUUAAUCAAGAACGAAAGUUAGGGAUCGAAGACGAUCAGAUACCGUCGUAGUCUUAACCAUAAAACUAUAGCCGAACUAGGGAUCGGAUGAUGUUAAUUUUUUAAUGUACUCUAUUCGGCG
rnacentral:rRNA from 1 species